rnacentral:rRNA from 1 species
UACGAAGGGGGCUAGCGUUGCUCGGAAUCACUGGGCGUAAAGCGCACGUAGGCGGAUUGCUAAGUCAGGGGUGAAAUCCUGGAGCUCAACUCCAGAACUGCCUUUGAUACUGGCGAUCUUGAGUCCGGGAGAGGUGAGUGGAACUGCGAGUGUAGAGGUGAAAUUCGUAGAUAUUCGCAAGAACACCAGUGGCGAAGGCGGCUCACUGGACCGGUACUGACGCUGAUGCGCGAAAGCGUGGGGAGCAAACGGG